rnacentral:rRNA from 1 species
AUGGAUGUUCCAAUCAUAUCAAAUGGACUUAGCAAUGGUGGGUUAGGAGGACCUGGCGCCUACUUUUUAAGCAGUAGGAAAGUACUGAAGGAUUCUACAGAGCAGCUGGAGAAUACAAAGGGAAUGGAACUAAGGAGGAUCUGGAUUGAGCAUCCUAUACCUGUUGUGCUGCAAAUUACUGGAACUGAGAUAUAUGCAAUGAUGAAACCUGGAGGAGAAGUUGGUGCAAGACAAUUUGAUAUUUUCCGUAGGCUUGUGUAUUGUCAGGAUAAGAAGUUAUAUGCUCCUAGGUCAAUUUUGAGGCUGAGGAAGGUUCUUCAUCUAAGCUGGGCGGAGAGAGUGCUUAAUGGUGCAGCCGUACAGAUUAAUGAUGAAAUAAAAGCAAGUUUGGUUGGUUUGAACGGAAAAUUUGAUUUGAGGACUUGCAAUAUGAUAAUGGUUCCAGACAGAUCUGUAGAGGGGUAUUACAUUCUGUAUGUCUUCAAUAUGUUUACUCAUGUGGUCCAUGUGUUUGAUCCAUUAAACUCAUGGCAGCUUGAGACAACAUUGGAGAAGAAGCACUGGGCAAAAUAUAUGUUGUUGCUUAAUGGGAUGUCGUCCUUGAUAUCUCAGUUAUACCCCGGCUAUCAUGUUGAUGCUUCUAAAUGGAAAAUGAAAUGCCAUAAAGUGUUGGCGGACCGAGUGAAGAGGGGUGAUACUGCAUUCUAUGUUUUACUCAUCAUAUUGAGCUUCAGUGGGCAAGAGAUAAAGCACAUUCUUAACACGAAUUCUCUGGCAUUAUUCAAGCUUAAUGUGCUGCAGUGGUUGGGUAAAAUGGAUGUGAACAUAUCAAGUUUCCCAAGGGAAAUCAUACCAUGUUAA